UACGAAGGGUGCAAGCGUUAAUCGGAAUUACUGGGCGUAAAGCGUGCGUAGGUGGUCUUUUAAGCCCGUUGUGAAAGCCCUGGGCUCAACCUGGGAAUGGCAGUGGAUACUGGAAGGCUGGAGUACGGUAGAGGAGGGUGGAAUUCCCGGUGUAGCGGUGAAAUGCGCAGAGAUCGGGAGGAACACCCGUAGCGAAGGCGGCACUCUGGGCCGGUACUGACGCUGAGGAGCGAAAGCGUGGGGAGCAAACAGG
rnacentral:rRNA from 1 species